rnacentral:rRNA from 1 species
UACGAGCCACACGAACGUUAUUCGGAAUUACUGGGCUUAAAGGGUGCGUAGGCGGCGCGGAAAGUUGGGUGUGAAAUCCCUCGGCUCAACCGAGGAACUGCGCCCAAAACUACCGUGCUCGAGGAAGAUAGAGGUGAGCGGAACUUACGGUGGAGCGGUGAAAUGCGUUGAUAUCGUAAGGAACACCCGUGGCGAAAGCGGCUCACUGGGUCUUCUCUGACGCUGAUGCACGAAAGCUAGGGGAGCAAACGGG